AUGAAGGGACCAAUCUUCUGGGCCACAGCAACAGAAGAGGAUCAUGGGAUACGGAGGACAAACACACGGGACGUCAGUCUGAAGGAGUUCACAGGAGAUGGUUUCUGUCACAGAGUGUGUCACAGUGUGAAUAAUCAGGGAACUGGCAAACUGGAAUUCAGCAGUGGAACCAAAGUGACUGUGGAAACUGAGGACGAUUACGAGCCGUCCUACUACAGACUGGACAACGCCAAUCACACGGUCACCGCUUGUCUGGCAACUGGGUUCAGCAAACACAACGCGACACUCCAGCACCGGCUCUUCAGAUCAGACCGGACCACAACAAACUCCAGCACCACGAGAGCAGUUCGGAUAUCGGACGACUCGGUGUUCAGUGAAGUGGUUCUGAUUCAAAGUGAUGAAGGAGACUCGUGUGAACUCGACAAACGGGAAGCUCGUGUUUGUGCAGAUACUUUGGACAAAGACGUGACGGUGAACACGAUGUCGCUGACCGUCCUCGUCCUGCGGCUGCUCUUCAUCAAGACCGUCGUCUUCAACGUGCUGAUGACGCUGCGUCUGUGGAUCAGUCACUGAGAGAAAAUCCUCAGAUCGACCUGAAGAAACGUCGCUCAGCUUCAUCUCACACGACUGUCACGUGUAAUAACUUGUUAAUUUGUUGUUCAUCACACGAGUGUCACGUGUAAUAACUUGUUAAUAUCAUGUCACAUCUUUUAUGUUUUGUUGAAUCAAUGUUGAAUUUUCUUUUCUAAUGUAAAUGUUUAAAAAAACUGUUUUUAUCUUUUUACAAUAAAAAAAUGGAAAAAAAAA